UUUCCGUUGGUGAACCAGCGGAAGGAUCAUUACAGAGUUCAUGCCCUUACGGGUAGAUCUCCCACCCUUGAAUAACAUACAUUGUUGCUUUGGCGGACGCUUCGGCAGCCGCCAGAGGACCCUAAACUCUUGUUUACAGUGUCGUCUGAGUACUAUAUAAUAGUUAAAACUUUCAACAACGGAUCUCUUGGUUCUG
rnacentral:misc_RNA from 1 species